rnacentral:rRNA from 1 species
CUAACACAUGCAAGUCGAGGGGUAACUGAGGUAGCUUGCUACUUGCUGACGACCGGCGCACGGGUGCGUAACGCGUAUACAAUCUGCCCAUUACUAAGGGAUAGCCCAUGGAAACGUGGAUUAAUACCUUAUGGUAUUUAAGAAUCGCCUGAUUUUUAAAUUAAAGGUUACGAUAAUGGAUGAGUAUGCGUCCUAUUAGCUAUUAUGUAGGGUAACGGCCUACAUAGGCGAUGAUAGGUAGGGGUUCUGAGAGGGAGAUCCCCCACACUGGUACUGAGACACGGACCAGACUCCUACGGGAGGCAGCAGUGAGGAAUAUUGGACAAUGGGAGCAAUCCUGAUCCAGCCAUGCCGCGUGCAGGAAGACGGUCCUAUGGAUUGUAAACUGCUUUUAUACAGGAAGAAAAAGGAGUACGUGUACUCCAUUGACGGUACUGUAUGAAUAAGGAUCGGCUAACUCCGUGCCAGCAGCCGCGGUAAUACGGAGGAUCCGAGCGUUAUCCGGAAUUAUUGGGUUUAAAGGGUCCGUAGGCGGGAUAAUAAGUCAGUGGUGAAAGUUUGUGGCUCAACCAUAAAAUUGCCAUUGAUACUGUUAUUCUUGAGUUAUUGUGAAGUGGUUAGAAUGUGUAGUGUAGCGGUGAAAUGCAUAGAUAUUACACAGAAUACCAAUUGCGAAGGCAGAUCACUAACAAUGAACUGACGCUGAUGGACGAAAGCGUAGGUAGCGAACAGGAUUAGAUACCCUGGUAGUCUACGCAGUAAACGAUGGUUACUAGCUGUUUGGCAUAAUUGAGUGCUGAGUGGUUAAGCGAAAGUGAUAAGUAACCCACCUGGGGAGUACGUUCGCAAGAAUGAAACUCAAAGGAAUUGACGGGGGCCCGCACAAGCGGUGGAGCAUGUGGUUUAAUUCGAUGAUACGCGAGGAACCUUACCAGGGCUUAAAUGCAGUCUGACAGGGGUGGANCACCUUUUUCUUCGGACAGAUUGCAAGGUGCUGCAUGGUUGUCGUCAGCUCGUGCCGUGAGGUGUCAGGUUAAGUCCUAUAACGAGCGCAACCCCUAUGGUUAGUUGCUAGCAGGUCAUGCUGAGAACUCUAGCCAGACUGCCGGUGUAAACCGCGAGGAAGGUGGGGAUGACGUCANAUCAUCACGGCCCUUACGUCCUGGGCUACACACGUGCUACAAUGGUAUGUACAAUGAGCAGCCACCACGCGAGU